CUGGAGUUAAAGCUGCUUAUUACUGAAGGUGCGAUCGACACAACUUCAUGACAGAGAUGCUGCCGGCGUCCUCAUUCUCAACAGCCAUUUUAUUCAGAAGAAGACAGCGAGGGAGCACACGGCCCAGAGAGAAAAGCCAACAGUAACCGUCUCACUGUAUGCAUCGUUAUAAAUCUCCCCUCAUCCUCCUUCAGCUGUAGAUUUUUGAUUAGACCUGUGGAUAGAAUCUUCGCAAGCGGCAAAUCCCAACGCAGGAAUCACACGCCAACGAGACAUUGACGGAUGUCUUUUUUGGUCGUCGGGAGAGCGGUUGUCUGACAUGCUGUUGCCAUGCUACACGGCUGACACAAGAUGCCUGCUGCCAGGCCCCGCGCCACCAGGGAGCAUGCUGGGAUACGGGCGCUUACGGUGGAGAACAGAGAAGCUCGUUAGAAGUUGUUUUCCAGGCCCGCAGAAGCUAAUCAGACCAGUAUUUUCUGAACUCCUGUCCUCUGCUUUGAAUGUUCUCCUGUGAGAUCGCUGAAAAAUCCCGCCGCUUUUCUUCUACCUGCUGUGCUCCAAACUGAACGUGUUAUAAGACAUAUGGACUUUCACAUGUUCUAACGACGAGCUUUCACAGUGAUAUCUGAGCGCACCAAUCAGGGUAAUUAAGCAGAAUAAACUCUGGUAAUGAAAGACCCCGGCAGGCCCAGGGAAUCCUGCACUUACGAAAGUGUGAACUUUCAAAAGAAACAACGUCGGUUCGCUUUUACCUUCUGUGCAUGAAGUUUUACUGUUAAACACACACACACUCACACACACACAUGGGCUCCCGCUGUCAGGCUGUUUAUUUUGCUCUAACUGUACGCUUUACACUCCUUUUCUGCAACUCUGAAAUUCUCUUUGAUUUGUGUUCAAAACCCAAAAAGAAGCAGCUAAAGACUCUGAGUUCUGGCGUGUGUGUGUGUGUGUGUGUGUGUGUGUGUGUGUGUGUGAUGUGUGUUUCUAUGUACAUGGUGAGGAAACAGAAACGCGGCCACUGUAUGAACGGAUCUGUGAUUGACGUGUUGUUUUAUUCGCUGCGUCUCUCUCUCUCUGUCGCCGUCCUUGUUUAGGAUCAUAAAUAGUGCAUGAGCUGAUUAGCUGGCCGUUUCUGGGCCUCGAUUAAGUGUGUGUGUGUGUGUGUGUGUGUGUGUGUGUGUGAGGGUGAGGGUGUGUACAGGCUCGAACAGACAAUUUGUCCACACAGAUGUAAGCAUUAUUAGUGUGUGUGGAGUUGUUUUGCGGGCCUGUAGGGUGACUGCAGUAAUGAGAGCUCGACCGAUGCGUCUGAUAUCUCUGGAAAGCCCUGCUCUCAUUAAUGCUGCUCACAAACACUCCUCAAAACGUUCAGUUCAGGUACAUUGUGCUCUUUUUUUUUUGUGGUUGAUGUGAUUGAAGUAUUUACUAUAUUGAUGUUUAU
ensembl:lncRNA